CCUACGGGGGGCAGCAGUAGGGAAUAUUGCUCAAUGGGGGAAACCCUGAAGCAGCAACGCCGCGUGGAGGAUGAAGGUUUUCGGAUUGUAAACUCCUUUUGUUAGAGAAGAUAAUGACGGUAUCUAACGAAUAAGCACCGGCUAACUCCGUGCCAGCAGCCGCGGUAAUACGGAGGGUGCAAGCGUUACUCGGAAUCACUGGGCGAAAAGAGCGCGGAGGCGGGAUAGCAAGUCAGAUGUAAAAUCCUAUGGCUUAACCAUAAAACGGAAUUGGAAACUGUUAUUCUAGAGUAUGGGAGAGGUGGUGGGAUUCUUUGUGGUAGGGGUAAAUUC
rnacentral:rRNA from 1 species